GACGAACGCUGGCGGCGUGCCUAACACAUGCAAGUCGAACGGGGGGAACAUGAAGUAUUUCGGUACGGAAUGCGCCCCUAGUGGCGAACGGGUGAGUAACACGUGGGCAACCUGCCCCAGACUGGGGGAUAACAUUGUGAAAACAGUGCUAAUACCGCAUGACAGGGUUCCGGGCAUCCGGGACCCUUGAAAGGAGAAAUCCGGUCAGGGAUGGGCCCGCGUCCAAUUAGCUAGUUGGCGGGGUAACGGCCCACCAAGGCGACGAUUGGUAGCCGAACUGAGAGGUUGAUCGGCCACAUUGGGACUGAGACACGGCCCAGACUCCUACGGGAGGCAGCAGUGAGGAAUAUUGGUCAAUGGGCGCAAGCCUGAACCAGCCAUCCCGCGUGCAGGAAGACGGCCCUAUGGGUUGUAAACUGCUUUUCCAGGGAGAGAAACUUACGCACGUGUUGCGUGACUGACGGUACCCUGGGAAUAAGCAUCGGCUAACUCCGUGCCAGCAGCCGCGGUAAACUGUAGUCGUC
rnacentral:rRNA from 1 species